AUUGAACGCUGGCGGCAUGCCUUACACAUGCAAGUCGAACGGUAACAGGUCUUCGGAUGCUGACGGGUGGCGAACGGGUGAGUAAUACAUCGGAACGUGCCUAGUAGUGGGGGAUAACUACUCGAAAGAGUGGCUAAUACCGCAUGAGAUCUACGGAUGAAAGCAGGGGAUCGCAAGACCUUGUGCUACUAGAGCGGCCGAUGGCAGAUUAGGUAGUUGGUGGGAUAAAAGCUUACCAAGCCGACGAUCUGUAGCUGGGCUGAGAGGACGAUCAGCCACACUGGGACUGAGACACGGCCCAGACUCCUACGGGAGGCAGCAGUGGGGAAUUUUGGACAAUGGGCGCAAGCCUGAUCCAGCAAUGCCGCGUGCAGGAUGAAGGCCUUCGGGUUGUAAACUGCUUUUGUACGGAACGAAAAGCCCCGGGUUAAUACCCUGGGGUCAUGACGGUACCGUAAGAAUAAGCACCGGCUAACUACGUGCCAGCCGCCGCUGUAACAC
rnacentral:rRNA from 1 species